UUCUCCGUGGGGAUUGCUCACCGUCCACCACCACUCACACACUCUCUCUCACUCGCCCGCACGGCACCAACAACAAUAAGAAGCGAAAGUCCUCGCCUUGCGCUGCUCCCCUUUCGCCUCGAUCGCUUUCUUCGCUCCUGAGACACUCAUUUCCAGGAGACCAAUUGAGGCUCCUCUUUCCUUCCUUAUCUCAACCAAACCCUACUCCCUCCCUUCCUCGCUGCCUCGCCACGUCUCCGGUGGUCGCUGAUUGGUAGGUUUCUCCGGCACACACUCCGAUCCGUCGCUAUUGCAUGCUCUCCGCGAGGAUAUGACAACUAUUAUCUCAGGCCAUCCUCGAAAUUUACCACGUCAAAUUUUCAACAGUUUCACAAAGACCAGACUAAGUCCAAUACAAUGUUUGGGAUGUUCAGGAACAGAGUUCCAUUCUGCUGGAACUUCAUAUUCCAUAACUCAACAGCUCACUAGUAACCAUGGAAAAGCACGGAAUUCUAGGCUGGUUAUCGUAAGAGCAGUUAAUGAUGAAGCUGAAUCAAACAACUCUAAAGAUGAUGACAAGGACCAAGAAAGUGAAAAGAUACAUGGUGGGUUAUCUCGUGAGGAUUUGGAGAGAAUAGUUGGAGCAGAUGAUUCAAAUUUUAAUGGAAUGGAUCUAGCAACUCUAAUCAGAAAAAAAUAUGGUAGAUCAUACGAUGUCCAACUAAUAAAGAAGGAAUUUAUGGGACGAAACCUACUGGCAAUGAAUGUAAUGUGGAAGUAUAUGGAGCAGAGGUCCUUUCCCUUAACUGAAGAGGAGUAUAUAUUGAGACUUGAUGAUGUAGCAAAUACAUUGAAGUGCUGGGGAGCUGUCUCACAUAUCCGAAAUAGCCUCGCUAAACUGAAGGAACGCCCGCGAAUAGGAAAAGCAGUGAGCAUCUUCAUAGACAUGGAUGAAACUGGGGGCAGAUCUAGUGAAUGGAUAUACAAAUAAAUUCUUUCCCAGACAAAAACAUUUGUUGUGCAAUUUUGAGGAUUCAAAAAGGAUCAAUCUAUUGUUCACAGCAAGUCCCCAUAAUCCGUUUGCUCGAGGGACUGAAUGAAUCCAUACAUUUGAGUAGGAUAUUGAUAUUUGAAUUCAAGUUUUAAAAAAUAUAUGUGAUAUUCGAAUUUGAUUAAAGUUUGAAAAUAUAAAUAAUUUUAGUUUGAAAUAAAAUAUUUGAGUUAUGU